rnacentral:rRNA from 1 species
AUUGAACGCUGGCGGCAGGCUUAACACAUGCAAGUCGAGCGGAGAGAGGUAGCUUGCUACUGAUCUUAGCGGCGGCCGGGGGAGUAAUGCUUAGGAAUCGGCCUAUUAGUGGGGGACAACAUUUCGAAAGGAAUGCUAUUACCGCAUACGUCCUACGGGAGAAAGCAGGGGAUCUUCGGACCUUGCGCUAAUAGAUGAGCCUAAGUCGGAUUAGCUGGUUGGUGGGGUAAAGGCCUACCAAGGCGAGGAUCUGUAGCGGGUCUGAGAGGAUGAUCCGCCACACUGGGACUGAGACACGGCCCAGACUCCUACGGGAGGCAGCAGUGGGGAAUAUUGGACAAUGGGCGCAAGCCUGAUCCAGCCAUGCCGCGUGUGUGAAGAAGGCCUUAUGGUUGUAAAGCACUUUAAGCGAGGAGGAGGCUACUUUAGUUAAUACCUAGAGAUAGUGGACGUUACUCGCAGAAUAAGCACCGGCUAACUCUGUGCCAGCAGCCGCCGUAAUAC